AAAGCCAAGGCUCUUUCAAUUCUUUCUGCCCCUCUCCUUUGCCUGACUUCGACACCAAGGAGAAUGGUCCAGCAGCAUCUCAGCCCAUGCUUGUCCAUCGCCCACCUUCAAACACUCUAGCCCCGGUGCACAUCCCCAAAGGCUCCUUGUGGGAUUCCUCAGCAGCAGCAAUGCACUGACCGUCACUCUAUGUUCUCCUAGGUCCUGUUGAAGAUCUGUAGGAGUCUACACAUGGCUGUGUGGAGAAUAUAUCAGAACUUGUUAACAUGUUCUUUCUCUGGAAGAGAAUUUUUUUUUCCUGGGGAUUCUAGAAUAUCAAGUGAAUAUCAUGUUUGACUGCCAUCAUGAAUCAGGCCUCAGUUGGUCAUGGACUCUAGCGACUGGUCACAGGAGGUUAUGACCAAUGGAGGCCUGAUUUACGAUGGGAAAGGACGACACCACUUACAAACUGUCUGGUAGUGAGUAUGUGUCUCAGUAGCAACCCUCUAUCCUUGAAAAAUAAUUUUGUAUUUGCCAGCCAACAAGGACACUUGCUAAAUAUUCCCAAAAAACCCAAUGCAUUUUUCACAAGCAUCAUCUAUGCUUUAUUUUGGGGACCAGUGACUUGAUCAGUAUGUGACCUUUGGUUUUUUAUUUCACCAAGUGAAUAAAAGGCCUUUACCAACAGAACCCAGCAUCAUCUGAUCCUCAUGGUGUUUCCUUUUUGUUUUUUUUUUUUUUCUUAUUGCAGGAAACAUCUACAGCCCAGUACCACCAACAUACGCAUUUUUUUAAAAAACAGCUUUAUUUAGUAGUUGACAUGCAAGACAAUUCACCCAUUUAAAGUAGGUGAUUCAGCGUUUUUACUAUAUUUACAGGGUUUUGCAACCAUUGUUACAAUCUAAUCUUAGAACCUCUUUAUUCCCCCUCAAAGAAACCCCACCAGUAGUCACUCCUUGUUUUUCCCAACUCCCACACCCCUGGGUCUAGGCAGCCACGAAUGUACUUCCUGUUUCUAUAGUACAGUGCUUUUCUGUAUUAAACUGUUCUUAAGGUGACUAUUUCACAUUGAUGAGGUUGCCCUAGCUAGAAAGCCUAGGAUCUUUCAUUUCUUACUGCCCCUCUCUUUUGCCUGCCUUCGACACCAAGGAGAAUGGUCCAGCAGCAUCUCAGUCCAUGCUUGUCAACCUCCCCCCUCCAUACACUCCAGCCCUGACCCACAGCCCCCAAGUCUCCUUGCAGGAUUCCUCAGUAGCACCAAUGCACUGACUGUCACUCUAUGUUCUCCUAGGUUCUGAUGAAGACCUGGAGCAGGGUUCAGUUAAAAGUCUGGAGGAGAUGAUAUCAGACAUUAUUUUGUAGAAGAUCUUGGUGAGGGUCCAUUUGGUGGUCUGGAGGACAAGAUGUCAUCCGACUUGGCAUCCUCACAGUUUUGGAGGAUGUUGACCUAUGGCUCAACCACCCUACCGCUUCUGGUUUUCUAACAUUGUCAAGGGAAUAACAGAUCUGUGGGAAGUACACAGCAGAAUCUGCUCCUCACAACGUUUUCCUCUGUAUGACUGUAGCUAACAUCGCAUGGCAACAA